rnacentral:rRNA from 1 species
AAAUUUAUAAUUUUAGGAUAAAAAUUUAUUAUAAAAUUUUUAUUUUAUAUAAAAUUUUUUUUAAUAAAAUAAUUUUAGUUAUUAAUAUUGAUAAUUUAAUUAGUGUUAAAUUUAGAAAUAUUUAAAAAUAUUAGUUAAAUAAGUGCCAGCAAUUGCGGUUAUACUUAUUAAUGUAAAUAUAAUUAUUAUUAUUUUUUUUUUGAGUUCAUUAUUUAUAACAAUUUAUUUUAAUGUAAGGUGAAAUUUUAUUUAUUUUUAUUUAAUAUAAAAAUUAUUAAUUAAUUAAUUUAAUAUGAAUAAAUUAGGAUUAGAUACCCUAUUAUUAAUUAAAUUUUUUUAAUAAAAAAUUAAAUAAUAGUUUAUUAAAUUUAAAUUAUAUGGUAGUAUAAAUUUUGUAUUAGAGGAAUUUGAUGAUUAAUUUGAUAAUAAACGAUAAGAUUUACUUAAUUUAUUAUUUAUGUAUAUUUGUUUAAGUUUUUAUAAUUAAAAUUUUUAUGAUUUUAUUAUAAAUGUAAUUCAAAUCAAUAUGUAAUUUAUAAUUAAGAUUAAAUUGAAUUACAUUAAAUUUAAAUUUUUAAUAUGGAUUAUAUUUAAUAGGUUUAUAUUAUUGGAUUUAAUUGUAAAUUAAAAUAAUUAUUUUAAUUGAAUAAAUAAUUUUUAAAUACAAAUUGCCCGUCAUUCUUUUUAAGAAAAGUCGUAACAUGGUAAAAUUAAUGGAAAUUAAUUUUAGAA